UAGUUCGAUCAUGGCUCAGGAUGAACGCUGGCGGCAUGCCUAAUACAUGCAAGUCGAACGGAGUGAAGCCUUCGGGUUUCAUUCAGUGGCGAACGGGUGAGUAAUACGCAGGGAACCUGGCCAUGGCAGGGGGAUACACUCUGGAAACGGAGCAUAAGACCCCAUAGGCAGUAAGGCGGCAUCGCCUUACUGUUAAAGAAAGCUGAAAGGCUUUGGCGAUGGAUGGACCUGCGGUGCAUUAGCUUGUUGGUGAGGCAACGGCUUACCAAGGCGAUGAUGCAUAGCCGGCCUGAGAGGGCGGACGGCCACACUGGGACUGAGACACGGCCCAGACUCCUGCGGGAGGCAGCAGUAGGGAAUUUUCGUCAAUGGGCGCAAGCCUGAACGAGCAAUGCCGCGUGAGUGAGGAAGGUCUUCGGACUGUAAAGCUCUGUUGCCGGGGAAAAAGGGGAAAUGCAGGAAAUGGCAUUUCAUGGAUGGUACCCGGCCAGAAAGCCACGGCUAACUACGUGCCAGCAGCCGCGGUAAUACGUAGGUGGCGAGCGUUAUCCGGAAUGAUUGGGCGUAAAGGGUGCGCAGGCGGUCUGUUAAGUCUGAAGGCAAAGGGAAGAGCUCAACUCUUCUUUGAUUCAGAAACUGGCAGACUUGAGGACAGGAGAGGGCGGUGGAACUCCAUGUGUAGCGGUAAAAUGCGCAGAGAUAUGGAAGAACACCAGUGGCGAAGGCGGCCGCCUGGCCUGUGACUGGCGCUGAGGCACGAAAGCGUGGGGAGCAAAUAGGAUUAGAUACCCUAGUAGUCCACGCCGUAAACGAUGAGGAGCAGGUGUUGGGAGUGAAAUCUCAGUGCCGAAGCCAACGCAGUGACUCCUCCGCCUGGGGAGUAUGCACGCAAGUGUGAAACUCAAAGGAAUUGACGGGGGCCCGCACAAGCGGUGGAGUAUGUGGUUUAAUUCGAAGCAACGCGAAGAACCUUACCAGGUUUUGACAUCGGAUGCGAAGGCGCAGAGAUGCGCUGGAGGCUAUCAUCCAGACAGGUGGUGCAUGGUUGUCGUCAGCUCGUGUCGUGAGAUGUUCAGUUAAGUCUGGCAACGAGCGCAACCCCCGUGGUAUGUUACUAACGCAUUUGGGCGAGGACUCAUAUCAGACUGCCGGUGACAAACCGGAGGAAGGCGGGGAUGACGUCAAAUCAUCAUGCCCCUUAUGACCUGGGCUACACACGUACUACAAUGGCGUCUACAGAGGGAAGCGACCCUGAGAAGGGAAGCGAAACCGGAAAAGGGCGUCCCAGUUCGGAUUGAAGUCUGCAACCCGACUUCAUGAAGAUGGAAUCGCUAGUAAUCGCGGAUCAGCAUGCCGCGGUGAAUACGUUCCCGGGCCUUGUACACACCGCCCGUCAAACCAUGGAAGCCGGCAACGCCCGAAGCCGGUGGCAUAACCUUUUAGGAGUGAGCCGUCGAAGGCGGGGCCGAUGACUGGGGUUAAGUCGUAACAAGGUAUCC
rnacentral:rRNA from 1 species